GGAUGUGACAGCCAUCUGGCUGUGACAUCUGUCACCCCAUUGAUCACCAGGGUUGAUUCAGCUGAUCUGGCUGGCUAGGCGGGUGUCCCCUUCCUCCCUCCCCACUCCAUGUGUGUCCCUCCAGAAGCUGCACACUUGGUCAAAGAAGAUGACCUUCCCUGCUAAAGGGGGACAGAUCUUCCUUCAAGGCUGUACAAGUAGCUGCACCCCCUUGCCAGAACCUCCAAACAAGCUCUCAAGAGUGGGCAGCUGGAGGCCAAGGCACAAUGUGCCUGCUCCAUCUUUCACUUCCAAAAUGGCAGCAGUA
rnacentral:snRNA from 1 species